rnacentral:rRNA from 1 species
AUUGAACGCUGGCGGCAUGCUUUACACAUGCAAGUCGAACGGUAGAGGGGGCAACCCCUUGAGAGUGGCGAACGGGUGAGUAAUGCAUCGGAACGUGCCCAGUCGUGGGGGAUAACGCAGCGAAAGCUGUGCUAAUACCGCAUACGAUCUCUGGAUGAAAGCGGGGGACCGAAAGGCCUCGCGCGAUUGGAGCGGCAGAUGUCAGAUUAGGUAGUUGGUGGGGUAAAGGCCUACCAAGCCAACGAUCUGUAGCUGGUCUGAGAGGACGACCAGACACACUGGGACUGAGACGCCGCACGGACUCCUGCGGGAGGCAGGAGUGGGGAAGUUGGACAAUGGGCGCAAGCCUGAUCCAGCAAUGCCGCGUGCAGGAAGAAGGCCUUCGGGUUGUAAGCUGCGUUUGUACGGAACGAAACGGUCUGGGUUAAUACCCUGGGCUAAUGACGGUACCGUAAGAAUAAGCGCCGGCUAACCACGUGCCAGCCGCCGCUGUAA